AGAUCAUUACAUUUCCUCUCAUACACAUUUGAUUCCAGAGAAAAAGAAUGAGAACAAACUACCAUAUUUACCUAAUCAUCAAGGAACCAAUUUUGGCAGCAUUCUUUAGCAGCGAGCAUGGACGGGACUAAUUUACUAAACACACCCUCCAGUCUCAUAAUUACAUGUAAUUUUACCGGCAUAAUUAACUAAUUUAAUUACUGCUCCUCAAGAGCAUCAAUUAUUGAUAUUACGAAGCGUUCAGACAGGCUGUGGUGACACGAGGAGCAUCAGAGGAUGUGAAACACAUGCUGGCACUUUGAGAGCUUUGGCAUGGGUACAGCAAUAUACGAGUGUGUGUGUUUGUGUGUAUGUGUGUGUGAAAGAGAGAGAGAGAGAGAGACAGGGGGGAAAGAAAGAGUCUGAAUGCAAUAUCAGAGUGGCACAGACCUGGACAAGAGCCCAGACUGACAGCGGCUGCUGUAGAAAUGUGGGAGAGAGAGACAGACAGACCAAAGAAGGCCUCAGCUCAACAUCAAAGCAUAUGCUCGAUGAGGCCCCCGGUUCCACAGAUCCAGGAUGUCAGCCAGGAGAGUGGCCCCCUGAUGCUGAACAACCACUGAUGCUGCCAUUGACAGACCAUCUGAAUAGGAGGUAUUUCUAUAGCUACAUAUCACAAGCGAUGAUCCCCCUGUCGGAAAGGAAAGGUACAAAUGAGUUUCUUUAAUAUCUCUGUUGUUUCUUCUAGACAGCAAUGACAUUGACAUCUGAUGCUUCUCAGAUGUUUCUCUUGAGAAAAACACCCAUUAAUUUUGUCUCCUCUACAGUUUUAGAAGAGAUCUCAACAAUCGAAAAUGCUGAUACUGAAAAUAAACAUAACUGAAGAUAGAUAGAUAGAUAGAUA
ensembl:lncRNA